UCCGAGUCGACUACAGGCAUUCAGGCAACGAGCGCAGAGGUGGCUGUUCAGGCGAGAGGCUCUGCUUGAGGAAACCAGAUAAGUUUUUCUACUUAAAAAAGAGAUAGGAAUUAAUAUAAUUCUAUAGAAAAUGUAAAUAGCGGAAGUACUUACCGAGAUAUACUUAGCAUUAAAAACUUAAUUUUUGUAAAGAUCUUAAGAGAAAAUAUGAAGACGCAGGAAAAGAAAAAUAUUGCUAGAACAUGACGGAAAUUAAGAGAUGAAACUACUUAAUGAAAUAAUUUUCAAAGAAAUGGCUGAUAGGACUCCAAAGUCCGAAUUCAGAAAGCCUUAAAUUGAAAGGCAAACUUUUAAAAUGCCAUUAAAACCUAGGUGACAUAUAAUGAUCGUCAUUUUAAAGAAGUAGAUGAUUUUAAAGGCCAGUCUUUUAUAAAAAGAUUGAAGGUGACUUAAGAGAUAGACCUUCCAAAAUGGCGCAGUUAAGAUGGCGUCAUCUGAGGCCUAGUUGAUCUUAAGGCAUCGCUAGAUUGGCAAAUGUUAACUUACGAGUGAUAGGAUUAAAUUUUGGGGAAAGACUAGAAAUUGAAGGGAAAAGCUCGGAAGACAGAAGUGUGCAGGAAGGUGAAGACGACUUAGAAGAUAGGAAAAUGGAAGAUAAAACGCUAGGAAAAGAAAACUAAAGCCGAAAGGUAGAAAGCAAAAGUAUUGAAGCAGAAAACCAAAGCCAAAAGCCACUUAAGGGCACAAGAUAAAUUUAGUAGAAAACUAGAAGAUAGAAAAUGAGAAGACAAGUCUAGUAGGAAAUUAGAAGAUAGAAAAUGAGAAGAGACAAGUCUAGUAAAAACCAGAAGAUAGAAAACAAGAAGAGACAAGUCUAGUAGGAAAUUAGAAGAUAGAAAAUGAGAAGAGACAAGUCUAGUAAAAUCUAGAAGAUAGAAAACAAGAAGAGACAAGUCUAGUAGGAAAUUAGAAGAUAGAAAAUGAGAAGAGACAAAAGUCUAGCAGAAAACUAGAAGAUAGAAAAUGAGAAGAGACAAGUCUACUAGAAAACUAGAAGAUAGAAGGUUAAAAUAUUGUCAAAUAAAAAGUAAGGGAAGGUAUUGGACACAGGCAUACAAGGUGUCAAAAAAUUAGAAGGCAGAAAAGUUUAGAGCCAGAAAAUUGUGCGAAGGACAAGAACAAAAACGACUAGGGAGGGAAUUAAGUUUUAAUAACUUAAUUGUAAAAGAGUGAGUUUAAUUUCUGGUGGCGCAGAAGUUAGAUUUGAGAAGAUGAGGAUGUUUGGAAGAGUUAAAAAUUUGGAAGGCAAGGCCUAAAUGCUAGUUUAGUCGUCUUUGGAAAAUUUAAAGGACUUUGAUUUAACUGAAGUAAUUGGAGAUCAAGAACCACCACCAGUUUAACGUUUUGCAUUGGACUGAGCUCAGAUGAUUUAAAUCCUGAGGACCAGCGUUAAUUGACAAGCUGACCCAGGUGCCACGCAGAAGUGGAUUCAGUGAAGCUAGGAAGACAGGAGCGCCAGACAGGAAGGAUUCCGGGAGCAGCCAGCAGCAUGCAGUUCGUGGUGAAGCUAGGAAGGAGGAGCCCGGCAGCCGGUGCGGUGUGGAGGAAGGAGCCCCUAACGAUUUGGCGGUGAAGCUAGGAGAGGAUUCCGGGAAGGAGGAGCCAGUGCGAUGUGCCCACGCCGGCGUGCGACCUGGCGACCGCGCGGAGGCGGCGAGCGGGCGGUGGCGGAUAGAUAGCGGAGCCUAGAGCAGCGAGCGUCCGGCGCGCGAGGCCGCGAGCGGGCAGCGGUGGUGGUAGAAGUCCGGGAGGCCGGCCGCGUCCAGGUGCUUGGUAACAGGAGUAUGGUAACCUCACUUCACUCAGGGUGACGGGGGAGUCGUGCGCUGCAGCGGCGAGCGAGGGCUUUAAUGUGGGACGUAGGCCGAUUUCCGGGUGUUGUAGGUUUCUCUUUUUCAGGCUUAUUUUCUCAGCAGCUUGUCUGAAGCUUUUGAGGGCAGACUCCCAAGGCCCGGAGGAGUGGUAGAUGGCAAGUUUUAUGGUUUUUGUCUUUUAACCAAUUUGAGGGAAACAAAUGAAUUUGAGACAAAAUCAAGACAAGUCUUGUAACCAGGGUUUUGUUUUUUUUUUUUUAAAUUAGCUUGGGGUGAUACGAAGCAUUUUAGUUUUGUAAAGAGAUGUGAAUGUUGAGUUUGGGCGUGUAACCAGGGGGGGAGUUUUGUGGGGGUGGGGGCAAAAUAUGUUUUGAGUUCUUUUCCCUUAGGUCUGGCUAGAAUCUCAAAGGCAAAUGACACAAGGUGACAGAAACAAAGAAAAUCCAGUAUCAGGAUAAACAGAACACCACAGGUUUAUGGUUUCUAAAAAACUAGGUCUGUGGCUGAGCUGUCCAUUGGAGAAAUGGCUGGUAGUUACUCUUUUUUCCCCCCACCCCUUAAUCAGAUUUUAAAGUAUGUGACACCUUUACUUGAAGUAUUUUGGGGUGGUCUUAACAGGGAAGAGGGUGGGGGAGAAAAUGUUUUUUCCCCUAAGAUUUUCUGCAGAUUGUGUAGUACUGUUGACAAAUUCGGGGUUAGACAAGGAUUGUACUGACAUGCUGUUGGCAACAACGCCUUUAGGGAUUGGAGCUGCUUUUUCCCUUGGAGGAGUAUUUCCGGUUGAAGCUGAAAUGCAGACAGCACAGUGCAGCUUUGGUUCACAUUCAGUCACCUCAGGAGAACUUCAGAAGAGCUUGACUAGGCCAGAUGUUGAAGUUAAGUUUUCAAAUAAUGUGACUUUUAAAAUUCCUUUUAUUGAAGGGGAGGGGCAAAUUUUGGUAAUUAGUCUUUGGCAGUGGCUUGUUAAAGUUGGGAUUGGGAGGGUUGGGGUUAGGUAAUUGUUUAGUUUAUGAUUUCAGAUAACUCAUGCCAGAGAACUUAAAAUACUUAGGAUGGAAAAACUAAGAAAUCGCAACUUUCAAGUUGGCAAGUAACUCCCAAUCUUCAAGUUUCUGUUCUCCCUCAAUUUUUGAAUUGAGCAGCUUGGGACGUUCUCAUACAGAUCCACUGGAUUCCAAGUGUAGGGCCUGGGGAAGGAAAGUGUGGGCUGGUACUAAAACUUUGGGGGAAUUCUUGAAACGCUUAAGUUUGGAUAUGGUAGUGUGUGGUUCUCUUUUGGAAUUUUUUUCAGGUGACUUAAUAAAACUUAAAACUCUGUAGGAGCUUCAAAGCAGAGGAAGUGGCUUAAUGACCCUGAAGGGAUUUCUUCUGAUGGUAGCUUUUGUGUUAUCAAGUAAGAUUCUGUUUUCAGUUGCACAUACAGCAAGUUUUUUAUUUCAGUGUAGGAAAAAUACUUUUCCUUUAUAUGACUGCAAAACAAGAUGUUAAGGUAUGCUUUAAAGUUAUUGCCAAAUGUGUAUUUUUAUUUUUGCUUUCUAAGUAUUUGUAAAUCAUAACUGAUAAAAGGGUGGGCUUUUGUUGAUGAGGGAGGGGAAACUUUUUUUUCUGUAGACUUUUUUCAGAUGACAUCUUCUGAGUCAUAACCAGCUCGACAGUAAUGAUGGCCUAGAUGGAGAGGGAACAGCUCCUUGGUGAAUGAUAAGUAAAGGCAGAAAAGAUUAUAUUUCAUACCUUCAUUGGGGAAAAGGCAUGGCCCUGAGAUCCUUACUGCUGAUGAAAACAUUGUCUACAUGUGCCAAAAAAAAA